GACGAACGCUGGCGGCGUGCUUAAUACAUGCAAGUCGAACGGAGAGGCUCUGCUUCUGUGGCGGGAACAACUUGGCAACGGGCGAGUAACAAGUGAGUAACCUACCUGUGUCAUUGGGAGGACUUCCGGUUAGUGAGGCUAACAAAUGCUAGGUACUCCCGCUAACUGGUUGGUGGUUGUUUAUUUCUGCGGUUUGCGAUGGCCUUGCGGCUUAUUAGCUUUUUGGUGGGGAAUUGGCUGACCAAGGCCGUGACGGGUAGCCGGCCCGUGAGGGUGACCGGGCACAUUGGGACUGAGAUACGGACCAGACUCCUACGGGAGGCAGCAGUGGAGAAUAUUGCACAAUGGGGGGAAGUCUGAUGCAACAACGUCGCGUGCGGGAUGACGGCCUUCGAGUUGUAAACCGCUGUGGACUGUGACGAAGCGUGAGUGACGGUAAUGGGUAAAGAAGCACCGGCUAACUACGUG
rnacentral:rRNA from 1 species